rnacentral:rRNA from 1 species
AAGUCAGAUGUGAAAGCCCCGGGGCUCAACCUCGGAAUUGCAUUUUGAAACUGGCAAACUAGAGUACUGUAGAGGGGGUAGAAUUUUCAGGUGUAGCGGUGAAAUGCGUAGAGAUCUGAAGGAAUACCGGUGGCGAAGGCGGCCCCCCUGGACAGAUACUGACACUCAGAUGCGAAAGCGUGGGGAGCAAACAGGAUUAUAUACCCUGGUAG